rnacentral:lncRNA from 1 species
GGGAGGAGGCUUAUCUCUGUCGCCGGCGAAGCUUUUCUGGCGAGAAAUUGGACGGCACAGGGACGGUCUUCCACGAAAUUUUCGACGAUUGCCGCCGUUUUGCCCCGGGAUUUCUCGAUGAGAGGAGAGAGGAGGGUUCUCCUCCUUAAAUAGAGCCGGAGGGAACUCGUCUCCGACUUCGAUUGGGAGCCGGCGAGAG